rnacentral:rRNA from 1 species
GACGAACGCUGGCGGCGUGCUUAACACAUGCAAGUCGAGCGGUAAGGCCCUUUCGGGGGUACGACGAGCGGCGAACGGGUGAGUAACACGUGGGUGACCUGCCCUUAGCUCUGGGAUAAGCCUGGGAAACUGGGUCUAAUACCGGAUAUGACUCCAUGACGCAUGUUGUGGGGUGGAAAGCCUUGUGCGGCUAGGGAUGGGCCUGCGGCCUAUCAGCUUGUUGGUGGGGUGAUGGCCUACCAAGGCGACGACGGGUAGCCGGCCUGAGAGGGCGACCGGCCACACUGGGACUGAGACACGGCCCAGACUCCUACGGGAGGCAGCAGUGGGGAAUCUUGCGCAAUGGGCGAAAGCCUGACGCAGCGACGCCGCGUGGGGAUGACGGCCUCGG